ACAAACACCCGCAGAAACCCUAAUCUCUAUCUCUCUCGAUCGCGACCUCGAUCUCGAUCGAUCGAUCAUGGCUGGUUUGGGGCUGUACCACACGGACUGCAAGUCGGUACUGUCGCAAAUCAAGCAUCAAGAGAAGCGGAUGGCGCUAAAGAGAAGGUGGUUGAUGGGGGUACCAUUGUCCAAGUCAGAGUUAAAGCAUUUAGAAGGGCCGAAGUUUUUAAAGAAAAAGGUCCUACGUGAAUCGAUGCUCAGGGAAGAUGAUAUAUUCUAUGAGACUGCUAAGAUGAAUGUUGAAGAAGCUAUCUUAUCGCAUGAUAUGGAGCGAGGAUGCAGUGGUGGUGCAGAAAUUGUUAAAUCAUCUGACAUGCCUAAUUUGCUAAAGGAAAUUCUAUCUCAUCUAAAUGAUAUGACCAAUAAGGGCCUUUAUCAUUUUGCUAUGAUUGUUACUAGGGGGUCUGUUGAGUUUGACAAAACUCGCUGGAAGAUGAAGAAACUUGUUAGGCAAACUGUCCGUAAAGUAUGCCAUAUUGAAAAGAACACUCAAUGGGAUAAUGUUACUUUUAAGAAGCUCUAUCAACUUCUAAAUGACCCACGAAAUUUCCGAGGAAAUUGUCUGAAUCAUUUGGCUCCUACAUCUCAUUCUCAAAGGGCAGCGGCUUUGAAGCUCCUGGGUAGACUUGAGGAACUCUCUAUGCCGGCUCUGAUUGCAAUGUAUAGGAAACUAAGAUGUGUACAGGGGAGAGUUCCUCGGUUGGAGCCCUUCAAAAGUGGACGGAGCCGAGAUGAUCUGAUAAAAAAAGUGAGGAAAACUAGUAGAAACAUGUUGCUGGAUCUUGGUUCAAGAGAUUGUAUACCAGAACCACUAGCUAAAGCAAUGGCUAUAGCAGUGUUAUCUUUAAAGCUAGCAUCAGGCUUUCAAAGAUCCGCAGGAAUGGAGUUUUACCAAUUUGCACCGGAAAUUAGAAGUUUGCAGGAUGAAAUUGUGAAGGCUGUUUGGCUACUGAACUCAAAAGUUAGAUUUCAGGAGCUGAAAGUUUUUCAGUCACUGCUGGACCCCAGUGCUAAAGUCUCAAAUAGUCGUCUAAGAACAGCAGUCAAGAACGUUUUGACUGAGUAUCUUUUCGAAUGCUCUGAUUUGGAUGUGAUCCCAAGGUCUUUAUUGGAGAGUCUGGCUUUUAUUAACAGGAAUUCUCGAACUGCACCACCUUCAUCCUUUCCUAAGGAGGAAGUUGAAGAAGAAGUAGAAUGCAGUUUGGUUGUCAGUGCCCAUAUGAAGCAGAAUGUCUGGGAUUUGCUUCCGGAAAUUGGGUAUGAUACAGAUUUCGCCAAUGCUUAUAUGGAAGAAUUGGAAGAAAGUGAUGAUGACGCUGACUCCGAUUAUGAAGAUGAGAGACAUACAAGGAUAUUAAAGAGUGGAAGGUCUGACAACAUUGAUUCAUUGUUUCCAGUGGAAGGUACUGGAGAGUCUAUUACUGAUAGCUCCAACCUGCCUUUUAUUAAUAUUAAGGGUAAUGGUAGUUCUCCCAGUCACACCCCAAGGAAAGUGUUUUACAGUGCUGCUGCAAUUAAAUGUGAGCCAGAUAUCUCACCCGGUAUUGCCUCCACUGCUGCUUGGUAUAGCAGUUCUUCCUUGUUAUUCCAAGACUCAAAGAGUUCUGAAGGCUUGAAUGGCAUGGAUAUAGAUGAUUUAAAGCCAUUGAGCAACUUUAGUUCUGCUAAAAUCAAUAGCGAUGGUCCCUUCUCUUUUCUGUCACCCAACACAGGGUUUGCAAAAUCUCUCAAGAGACACAAGGCUGAAGAUGAUGAACUGAAGAAUCAACAAAGGGAUGUCUUGAACAGACCAAGCACUUGCAUAAAUCGAUACCUUGCUGUCCAGGAAGCUUGUGAUGAAACAAGUAUAAUUGCCUAUAAUUUGGUAGGUUAUAUAUUGGAAGAAUUUGCACAAAGAGAAGGUUUGAAUCUAGAAAUGAACGAGAGUUCAUAUCUGGGGCGUGAUCAGUCCAAUGAAGAAGGUCAUGAAGAAAAGAAGGAUUCUAGUCAUCACGAGGGCUCAGAAGAUUUUGUCAUCCAUAGAGCACUCGAAAAUCUAGUUCCAUGCCUCAAGAAGAGUGUGAUGGAAAGAUUGAAGGAGUGCACAGGCAUUCCUUAGAGGUCUACUCUCAAUGGGAAGGGGAUCAUAUCCUUGUUCCUCAAGUAAUCUCUGGAAUCUUGCUUGAAUUAAGCUCCAUAGUUAAUGGCUGCAUAUGGCGGGAGUUGAAGACUUUGUCUCCAUGGGGAAUUAUCUGGGGAAAGAUGAGAAGACUUGCAAAAAGCUGACUUGUUUGGCCAGGGAAAGAAGACCUGCUGGGCCUCAUGCCUGAUGGAUGAAAUGGAUCCUAUGGUAAUCUCAAAGCAGUUGGCCAUCCUGAUGCCAUGAUUCGGAUGGAUAUUGGCUCAGCUUGGAAGCAGGAUUCAUGUGUCCGACCUUACAGAAUGUGGCAACUCAAAUUUAAAGUCUUGGUUGUUGGCGAACCUCCCAAUCUCCUUGUCAAUUUUCAACUUCCACGAGGUGCUCUUCCUAACACCAGCUAUAGAUCAACUCCGUGAGUUCAAUCUUCAGGUUUUGCGAGGAAAAAAGUUUCAUGUUCUUGCGACUCGCAACUGAUGUGCAAGGGCUUAUGAAAUUUCCGAGUCCACUCAGCACAGACACAUGGACGCUCCUCGUGGCUUCCCAGGUCCGUAUAAAUGUCGUGCACAAAGUCGUUGGUUUUCUCUCGGUUUUAAGCUCAAACUCUAGGUCGAGCAAGGCGUUCUUUCUAUGCUUUUUCACUUACUUAUUUCUGGUUGAGGUGUGUGCGUGAGACCGGCUUAACUUGUCCAUGGCAGCUCAUGGCGUGAAAAACAGUGUAUUUGUGGCACUUUGAAAAUUAUUCAGAUGCUCAGCAUUAAAAAACGUACUGACUUCAGAAUGCAAAGACCUGGUUGAGCGGGUCGUUUAUCUUUCUUCCCUACAUCAUUUCAGGUUGUAAGAGAUCAUUCAAUAGUAAAGAGGUAUGCGAACAACCCCCGAUUAAAAUCAUUCCAAAUGGUCUACAUUCUUCCUAGUUUAACCCUCCCAAAACAAUCCUUCGAUUUGCUGUUUCCCGCACUUUACAUUCACAGGCACGAUAUAACUAACACGGAUGCGUUCUUCUUAGUCGAAGCGUUCCAGGAGCUCUUGUAAUUAUAACUGAGAUUUCUCCACCGAGCUCUCAAACUUUUAUUAUUCAUCGGACGCGCUUUACUACAUUAUUCAUCGUCGUGUUAGUAUUUAGGCCUGAUUCUGGGUAUAUUUCAUUUCGAUGAGGGGGUAUCUGAACACAUUUCCUUUGUGUAUGUUCUGGGUCCUACUUCGGUGACUCAAUGGCGUUCCUGACAAGGAUAUGUUCUCAACAUACUGAUUUGAGCUUCGGGUGACGCGACUGAGGUUUCAUUGCGUUAGUUAACUUUCCCUCUUGUUCCUUGUGCCGGUGCGUGGAGGUCGAGCCGUAGAUGGGAUGAUCGGCAGAAGAGUCUAUGUUCAUUAUUCUGAUGCUCUAGUUUGAUGAACUCCGGUUGUCUGAGGUCCUGUUGUGAUGUUGUGUGUAUAAAUUGGUUUUGGUGUUCA